GAGUUUGAUCUUGGCUCAGAAUAAACGCUGGCGGCGUGCCUAACACAUGCAAGUCGAGCGAGAAAGUUCCUUCGGGGAACUAGUAAAGCGGCGAACGGUUGAGUAACACGUGAGAAUCUACCCUUCAGUGAGGAAUACCACCGAGAAAUCGGUGUUAAUACUGCAUACGUCCCUUCGGGGAGAAAGGUGGCUUUAAUGCUGCCGCUGAUGGAUGAGCUUGCGAGCUAUCAGUUAGUUGGUGAGGUAAUGGCUCACCAAGGCUAUGACGGCUAUCCGGCCUGAGAGGGUGUACGGACAGACUGGGACUUAGACACGGCCCAGACUCCUACGGGAGGCAGCAGUGGGGAAUAUUGCGCAAUGGGCGAAAGGCCUGACGCAGCGACGCCGCGUGAAGGAUGAAGGUCUUCGGAUUGUAAACUUCUGUUAAGUGGGAAG
rnacentral:rRNA from 1 species